UACGUAGGUGGCAAGCGUUGUCCGGAUUUACUGGGCGUAAAGAGCGCGCAGGCGGUCGUUCAAGUCGCGUGUGAAAGCCCCCGGCUCAACUGGGGAGGGUCACGCGAUACUGAUCGACUCGAAGGCAGGAGAGGGUAGUGGAAUUCCCGGUGUAGUGGUGAAAUGCGUAGAUAUCGGGAGGAACACCAGUGGCGAAGGCGACUACCCUGGCCUGUUUCUUGACGCUGAGGCGCGAAAGCUAGGGGAGCAAACGGG
rnacentral:rRNA from 1 species